AUCUACCAAAGAAAGUGGCAUUAUCUUAUCCAUUCAGUAUGCAUCUUUUCCUCUUUACUGUGCGUUUGCACGAACAGAAUGAAAGGCCAUUUUGAAUCACUUGGUGACAUAAUAAUUCGUGGGAUGUAAACUUUGUCACCAAUGAAUUUGACUCAUGAUGUAGGUGUUAAUCUGGUCAACAGUCUCGUUCCUUGGGCACAGGAUCGCUCUUUCCUCUAGUAUCCAGUUUGCAAAUUCAGCUGUCUUUGCUUUCUCUUCUGGACUACCUUCGGAUGAAUUCAGACGCAUAUUUUCUGAUUUGUCUGAAGUCACCUCCCAAGACUACUGUCAUUCCUCCAAACGGUCUAUGCUC